UCUAACAUGGCGGAGAUGUAGACACGCUGCUGCGGAAAAUUUUCUUUUCAAAUGAUUUUAACUUAUUCACGUUUUGUGGUACGUCAUGCAAGAGAUCAGAGAAAAAACACUCUAAGAGAAGUGAAGUUGACAAAUUGGACCAAAAAGACUUGCAUACUGAGAUUAAGACAGACACAGAUAUUUACAUUGCAACCCCAUUAAUACCAACACCAACACAAUCAAGUAAAAGAUCAACACGUUUGAGAAAAUUAAAAUUCCUUGGGAGGAGAAUCAACCACCAGUGGACAGAAUCAGACGGCUCUGUGAAAUGGUACAAAGGCACCGUGCUUUCUGUUUCUUCUGGAAAAGACGGAAAUCCUGAUGUAGCAUAUGAGGUGCUAUAUGAAGGCGAAGACGCGUCAUAUGAAGUUGAUUCUUUGAUCAAAGACUAUAAUGAAGGCACCUUAACUUUCAUAGAUUUGUAAUGGUAAUGGAGAUUCAGUGUCACUAAAAUAGAUGUUACUUUAAAAGUUUUCAUUCAUCAUAUCACAUAUUUAUCAUUGGAAGGAACUUUAUUUUGACAUACAAGUUACAUGUGCUGCAAACU